rnacentral:tRNA from 1 species
GAGGGGGCUUGUAAGUAAGCAUUGGUCUCUUAAACCACGGUAAGGUGGGGUAACGGCCACCCCUCA